rnacentral:lncRNA from 1 species
UCUCGGGAGCCCUCCUGGAUGUGACACGAGAUAUCGUGCAAGCAAUUGCGCGAAACAUAGAGAGUAUAUGCAAUGCGCACCACUCUUCAUAUUGCCUGAUCUUUGUUUGGAUUGGCAUCGCAAAGAUGGAUGGGGAAGUGAGCUGGCGCGAGCAGAGAUUUCUCCACAGCAUGGACAUGACCCACGAAGAGUGGAAGCAACUUAGCCUUGAAGAUCUGCAGAAACAAAUGCUUGAAAUCUACGUCACAUUUGAUCCAAAGAGGGAUGAAAAUUCUCACGAAGAGGCUGCUCUGGCUCAAAAACGCGAAGGUUAGGGUCAAAUUUUCAGCACUGCACAGUGUUAUAUUUGGACAAGAUUUCGAUCCUAUCCAGGAUUUGUACUGACUUACUGUGUGAAUUUUCUCGAUUAGGCGAGGCGCGAGAUAUUGCACGUCUACAACCACUGCAGCCGCUGAAGUGUCUC